rnacentral:rRNA from 1 species
GACGAACGCUGGCGGCGUGCUUAACACAUGCAAGUCGAACGGAAAGGCCCUGCUUGCAGGGUACUCGAGUGGCGAACGGGUGAGUAACACGUGGGUGAUCUGCCCUGCACUUCGGGAUAAGCCUGGGAAACUGGGUCUAAUACCGGAUAGGAGCCAUUUUUAGCGUGAUGGUUGGAAAGUUUUUUCGGUGUAGGAUGAGCUCGCGGCCUAUCAGCUUGUUGGUGGGGUAAUGGCCCACCAAGGCGGCGACGGGUAGCCGGCCUGCGAGGGUGGACGGCCACAUUGGGACUGAGGUGCGGCCCAGACUCCGACGGGAGGCAGCAGUGGGGAAGAUUGAACAAUGGGCGCAAGCCUGAUGCAGCGACGCCGCGUGGGGGAUGACGGCCUUCGGGUUGUAAACUCCUUUCGCUAGGGACGAAGCUUUUUGUGACGGUACCUAGAUAAGAAGCACCGGCUAACUACGUG